GACGAACGCUGGCGGUAUGCUUAACACAUGCAAGUCGAACGAGAAGUUUUUUAUUGAACCUUCGGGGGAUAUAAGAGACAGACAGUGGCGAACGGGUGAGUAACGCGUGGGCAACCUACCUAUCGGAGCGGGAUAGCCUCGAGAAAUCGGGAGUAAAACCGCAUAACACGGAUAUAUCGCAUGAUGAAUCCGUCAAAACUCCGGUGCCGAUAGAUGGGCCCGCGUCUGAUUAGCUAGUUGGUAAGGUAAGGGCUUACCAAGGCAACGAUCAGUAGCCGGUGUGAGAGGGCGAACGGCCACACUGGAACUGAGACACGGUCCAGACUCCUACGGGAGGCAGCAGUGGGGAAUAUUGGGCAAUGGGGGCAACCCUGACGCAGCAAUACCGCGUGAGUGAAGAAGGUUUUCGGAUGGUAAAG
rnacentral:rRNA from 1 species